GUCCACGCCGUAAACGAUGGGUGCUAGGUGUGGGCGGUGUCGACUCCGCCCAUGCCGAAGCUAACGCAUUAAGCACCCCGCCUGGGGAGUACGGCCGCAAGGCUAAAACUCAAAGGAAUUGACGGGGGCCCGCACAAGCAGCGGAGCAUGUGGUUUAAUUCGACGCAACGCGAAGAACCUUACCAGGGCUUGACAUGCACGGGAAUGUCGUAGAAAUACGGCAGCCCUUCGGGGCUCGUGCACAGGUGGUGCAUGGCUGUCGU
rnacentral:rRNA from 1 species